ACAUGAGAAAUAAAAUCUUUGUGCUUCUCUCCUGUUCUUCAAUACCUCUCUAGGAAAAGCCCAGAAGAAAUCCAUAUUAGAAAGCCACAUAGGAAAGCUGUCAAGGACUCAGUAGGCAAAAAAAGAACCAGAAAACCCAGUCAUACAAAUAUUUGCACUAUGGGAAUGUGGGUGGAGAACCACAAGCAAGAGCUUUGGAAAUCACACAUUAGCACAACAUUCAAGUCAAACCAUGUCCAAACAGCUCUGGCUGCCUGCACUUCAAAGCCCUGGCAAAGCCCCACACAGUGUUCUUCCAAGAUUUGCUCGAUUGCCAUAGUGGUGAAUCAUGACCAUAAAAGAAGCUGUGUGAAUGUUGGAUGGGUUUUUUC
rnacentral:lncRNA from 12 species